GCAGCAAGGACAAUGAGGUUGAGGUGAGCGCGACGGUGCGCCCGUCGACGGCGCUAUUGGGCGGCACCGACGAC
rnacentral:snoRNA from 1 species